rnacentral:rRNA from 1 species
GACAGAGGGUGCAAACGUUGUUCGGAAUUACUGGGCGUAAAGGGCGCGUAGGCGGUCUUCUAAGUCUUGUGUGAAAUCCCUCGGCUCAACUGAGGAACUGCACGGGAUACUGGAAGACUUGAGUUCGGGAGAGGGAAGCGGAAUUCCGGGUGUAGCGGUGAAAUGCGUAGAUAUCCGGAGGAACACCGGUGGCGAAGGCGGCUUCCUGGACCGAUCACUGACGCUGAGGCGCGAAAGCUAGGGGAGCAAACGGG